AUGUCCCCAAAAUGUCCCCAAAUGUCCCCAAACGUCCCCCAAACGCCCCCAAAAUGCCCCCAAAAUGUCCCCAAAAUGUCCCCAAAUGUCCCCAAACGUCCCUGGUGUCACCCACAGCUGCGUCAGUGUCCCCAGAUCCUGGAAGAGUCCCCGGGGCAGCGACUCCAGGCGGUUGUUGGCCAAACUCCUGUGGGGACAUUUGGGGACAUUUGGGGACAUUUUGGGGACAUCUGGGACCAUUUAGUGACAUUUUGGGGCCAUUUUGGGGCCAUUUUGGGCCAUUUUGGGGACAUUUGGGGACACUUGGGGCCAUUUUGGGGCCAUUUGGGACAUUUUGGGGCCAUUUGGGGACAUUUUGGGGCCAUUUGGGGACAUUUUGGGACAUUUGGGGCCAUUUUGGGGCCAUUUUGGGACAUUUUGGGGACAUUUGGGGUCAUUUGGGGACAUUUGGGGCCAUUUUGGGGCCAUUUGGGGCCAUUUGGGGACAUUUUGGGGACAUUUGGGGACAUUUUGGGGCCAUUUGGGGACAUUUGGGGCCAUUUGGGGCCAUUUGGGGACAUUUUGGGGCCAUUUGGGGCCAUUUGGGGCCAUUUGGGGCCAUUUGGGGCCAUUUGGGGCCAUUUGGGGACAUUUGAGGCCAUUUUGGGGACAUCUGGUGACAUUUUGGGCCAUUUUGGGGACAUUUGGGGUAAUUUUGGGGACAUUUGGGGCCAUUUGAGGCCAUUUGGGGCCAUUUGGGGCCAUUUGGGGCCAUUUUGGGUCAUUUUGGGGACAUAUGGGGACAUUUUGGGACAUUUGGGGCCAUUUUGGGUCAUUUGGAGUCAUUUUGGGGACAUUUUGGGGACAUUUGGGGCCACUUGGGGCCAUUUGGGGUCAUUUAGGGACAUUUGGGGACAUUUGGGGACAUUUGGGGACAUUUGGAGUCAUUUUGGGGACAUUUUGGGGACAUUUGGGGCCAUUUAGGGACAUUUGGGGACAUUUGGGGACAUUUGGGGCCAUUUGAGGCCAUUUGGGGCCAUUUGGGGCCAUUUUGGGUCGUUUUGGGGCCAUUUGGGGCCAUUUGGGGACAUUUGGGGACACUUGGGGACAUUUGGGGUCAUUUGGGGGCCAUUUGGGGACAUUUGGGGACAUUUGGGGCCAUUUGGGGACAUUUUGGGGCCAUUUGGGGACAUUUGGGGACAUUUGGGGACAUUUUGGGGCCAUUUGGGGACAUUUGGGGACAUUUGGGGACAUUUGGGGACAUUUAGGGACAUUUGGGGACAUUUGGGGACAUUUUGGGGACAUUUUGGGGACAUUUUGGGGCCAUUUGGGGUCAUUUGGGGCCAUUUUGGGGCCAUUUGGGGCCAUUUUGGGUCAAUUUGGAGAAUUUUGGGGCCAUUUGGGGACAUU
rnacentral:lncRNA from 1 species